rnacentral:rRNA from 1 species
UACGAAGGGGGCUAGCGUUGCUCGGAAUUACUGGGCGUAAAGGGCGCGUAGGCGGCACUGUUAGUCAGGCGUGAAAGUCCUGGGCUCAACCUGGGAACUGCGCUUGAUACGGCAGAGCUAGAGGAUGGAAGAGGCUCGCGGAAUUCCCAGUGUAGAGGUGAAAUUCGUAGAUAUUGGGAAGAACACCGGUGGCGAAGGCGGCUCACUGGCUCGUAACUGACGCUCAUGCACGACAGCGUGGGGAUCAAACAGG